rnacentral:rRNA from 1 species
UACGUAGGUGGCAGGCGUUAUCCGGAUUUAUUGGGUGUAAAGGGCGUGUAGGCGGGAGCGCAAGUCAGAUGUGAAAACUCAGGGCUCAACCCUGAGCCUGCAUUUGAAACUGUGUUUCUUGAGUGCUGGAGAGGCAAUCGGAAUUCCGUGUGUAGCGGUGAAAUGCGUAGAUAUACGGAGGAACACCAGUGGCGGAGGCGGAUUGCUGGACAGUAACUGACGCUGAGGCGCGAAAGCGUGGGGAGCAAACAGG